rnacentral:rRNA from 1 species
UACGAAGGGGGCUAGCGUUGCUCGGAAUCACUGGGCGUAAAGCGCACGUAGGCGGAUUGCUAAGUCGGACGUGAAAUCCCCAGGCUCAACCUGGGAACUGCGUCCGAUACUGGAUGGCUUGAAUCCGGGAGAGGGAUGCAGAAUUCCAGGUGUAGCGGUGAAAUGCGUAGAUAUCUGGAGGAAUACCGGUGGCGAAGGCGGCAUCCUGGACCGGCAUUGACGCUGAGGAGCGAAAGCCAGGGGAGCAAACGGG